rnacentral:rRNA from 1 species
GAUGAACGCUGGCGGCGUGCCUAGUACAUGCAAGUCGAGCGAACGGACGAGACGCUUGCUUCUCUGAUGUUAGCGGCGGACGGGAGAGUAACAUGUGGAUACCCUCCCUAUAUGACUGGUAUAACUUCGGGAAACCGUAGCUAAUCCCGGAUAAUAUUUUGAACCGCAGGGUUCAUAGGUGAAAGACGGUGUUGCUGUCUCUUCUAGCUGGUUCCGCGCUGCAUUAGCUAGUUGGUAAGGUAACGGCUUACCAAGGCAACGAUGCAUAGCCGACCUGAGGGGGUGAUCGGCCACACUGGAGCUGAGACACGGACCUGACUACUACGGGAGGCAGCAGUAGGGAAUCGUACGCAAUGGGCGAAAGCCUGACGGAGCAACGCCGCGUGAGUUAUGAAAGUCUUCGGAUCGUAAAACCCUGUUUUUAGGGAAGAACAGAUUUGUAAGUAACUGUGCACAUCGUGACGGUACCUAAUCAGAAAGCCACGGCUAACUACGUG